rnacentral:rRNA from 1 species
UACGUAGGCAGCAAGCGUUGUUCGGAAUUACUGGGCGUAAAGGGUGUGUAGGUGGUGAUGUAAGUUUGGUGUGAAAUCUCCUGGCUCAACUGGGAGGGUGCGCCGAAGACUGCAUCGCUAGAGUAUGGGAGAGGUAAGCGGAAUUCCUGGUGUAGCGGUGAAAUGCGUAGAUAUCAGGAGGAACACCUGUGGUGUAGACGGCUUACUGGACCAUCACUGACACUGAAACACGAAAGCGUGGGUAGCAAACAGG